CGAGCGAACGGGGAGGAGCCCAGAGCCUGAAUCAGUGUGUGUGUUAGUGGAAGCGUCUGGAAAGGCGUGCGAUACAGGGUGACAGCCCCGUACACAAAAAUGCACAUAUUGUGAGCUCGAUGAGUAGGGCGGGACACGUGGUAUCCUGUCUGAAUAUGGGGGGACCAUCCUCCAAGGCUAAAUACUCCUGACUGACCGAUAGUGAACCAGUACCGUGAGGGAAAGGCGAAAAGAACCCCGGCGAGGGGAGUGAAAAAGAACCUGAAACCGUGUACGUACAAGCAGUGGGAGCCUCUUAAUGGGGUGACUGCGUACCUUUUGUAUAAUGGGUCAGCGACUUAUAUUCUGUAGCAAGGUUAACCGAAUAGGGGAGCCGAAGGGAAACCGAGUCUUAACUGGGCGUUAAGUUGCAGGGUAUAGACCCGAAACCCGGUGAUCUAGCCAUGGGCAGGUUGAAGGUUGGGUAACACUAACUGGAGGACCGAACCGACUAAUGUUGAAAAAUUAGCGGAUGACUUGUGGCUGGGGGUGAAAGGCCAAUCAAACCGGGAGAUAGCUGGUUCUCCCCGAAAGCUAUUUAGGUAGCGCCUCGUGAAUUCAUCUCCGGGGGUAGAGCACUGUUUCGGCAAGGGGGUCAUCCCGACUUACCAACCCGAUGCAAACUGCGAAUACCGGAGAAUGUUAUCACGGGAGACACACGGCGGGUGCUAACGUCCGUCGUGAAGAGGGAAACAACCCAGACCGCCAGCUAAGGUCCCAAAGUCAUGGUUAAGUGGGAAACGAUGUGGGAAGGCCCAGACAGCCAGGAUGUUGGCUUAGAAGCAGCCAUCAUUUAAAGAAAGCGUAAUAGCUCACUGGUCGAGUCGGCCUGCGCGGAAGAUGUAACGGGGCUAAACCAUGCACCGAAGCUGCGGCAGCGACACUAUGUGUUGUUGGGUAGGGGAGCGUUCUGUAAGCCUGUGAAGGUGGCCUGUGAGGGUUGCUGGAGGUAUCAGAAGUGCGAAUGCUGACAUAAGUAACGAUAAAGCGGGUGAAAAGCCCGCUCGCCGGAAGACCAAGGGUUCCUGUCCAACGUUAAUCGGGGCAGGGUGAGUCGACCCCUAAGGCGAGGCCGAAAGGCGUAGUCGAUGGGAAACAGGUUAAUAUUCCUGUACUUGGUGUUACUGCGAAGGGGGGACGGAGAAGGCUAUGUUGGCCGGGCGACGGUUGUCCCGGUUUAAGCGUGUAGGCUGGUUUUCCAGGCAAAUCCGGAAAACCAAGGCUGAGGCGUGAUGA
rnacentral:rRNA from 1 species